rnacentral:rRNA from 1 species
AUGAACGCUAGCUACAGGCUUAACACAUGCAAGUCGAGGGGCAGCAUUUCAGUUUGCUUGCAAACUGGAGAUGGCGACCGGCGCACGGGUGAGUAACACGUAUCCAACCUGCCGAUAACUCGGGGAUAGCCUUUCGAAAGAAAGAUUAAUAUCCGAUGGUAUAAUUAGACCGCAUGGUCUUGUUAUUAAAGAAUUUCGGUUAUCGAUGGGGAUGCGUUCCAUUAGGCAGUUGGUGAGGUAACGGCUCACCAAACCUUCGAUGGAUAGGGGUUCUGAGAGGAAGGUCCCCCACAUUGGAACUGAGACACGGUCCAAACUCCUACGGGAGGCAGCAGUGAGGAAUAUUGGUCAAUGGGCGCAGGCCUGAACCAGCCAAGUAGCGUGAAGGAUGACUGCCCUAUGGGUUGUAAACUUCUUUUAUAUGGGAAUAAAGUUUUCCACGUGUGGAAUUUUGUAUGUACCAUAUGAAUAAGGAUCGGCUAACUCCGUGCCAGCAGCCGCGGUAAUACGGAGGAUCCGAGCGUUAUCCGGAUUUAUUGGGUUUAAAGGGAGCGUAGGUGGACAGUUAAGUCAGUUGUGAAAGUUUGCGGCUCAACCGUAAAAUUGCAGUUGAUACUGGCUGUCUUGAGUACAGUAGAGGUGGGCGGAAUUCGUGGUGUAGCGGUGAAAUGCUUAGAUAUCACGAAGAACUCCGAUUGCGAAGGCAGCUCACUGGACUGCAACUGACACUGAUGCUCGAAAGUGUGGGUAUCAAACAGGAUUAGAUACCCUGGUAGUCCACACAGUAAACGAUGAAUACUCGCUGUUUGCGAUAUACAGUAAGCGGCCAAGCGAAAGCAUUAAGUAUUCCACCUGGGGAGUACGCCGGCAACGGUGAAACUCAAAGGAAUUGACGGGGGCCCGCACAAGCGGAGGAACAUGUGGUUUAAUUCGAUGAUACGCGAGGAACCUUACCCGGGCUUAAAUUGCAUUUGAAUAUAUUGGAAACAGUAUAGCCGUAAGGCAAAUGUGAAGGUGCUGCAUGGUUGUCGUCAGCUCGUGCCGUGAGGUGUCGGCUUAAGUGCCAUAACGAGCGCAACCCUUAUCUUUAGUUACUAACAGGUCAUGCUGAGGACUCUAGAGAGACUGCCGUCGUAAGAUGUGAGGAAGGUGGGGAUGACGUCAAAUCAGCACGGCCCUUACGUCCGGGGCUACACACGUGUUACAAUGGGGGGUACAGAAGGCAGCUACCUGGUGACAGGAUGCUAAUCCCAAAAGCCUCUCUCAGUUCGGAUCGAAGUCUGCAACCCGACUUCGUGAAGCUGGAUUCGCUAGUAAUCGCGCAUCAGCCAUGGCGCGGUGAAUACGUUCCCGGGCCUUGUACACACCGCCCGUCAAGCCAUGAAAGCCGGGGGUACCUGAAGUACGUAACCGCAAGGAGCGUCCUAGGGUAAAACUGGUAAUUGGGGCU